GUCUGGAGAAACACCAUUAAAAACGUGGAUUGUAGCUAAAGAAGAUGGAGAGGUUGUUACAGCACACUGUAACUGUAUGGCUGGUUUGUCAGAAUCCUGCUCACAUGUUGGAGCAGUUCUGUUUGCAAUCGAAGCAGGUGUGAAGAUGAGAGAGACUGCAUCCUGCACCACUGAGAAGUGCAAGUGGCUAAUGCCAUCACAUGUCAAAAAGAUUCCUGCUGCUCCAGUUGCGAUGAUAGACUUUUCAGCCGCAAAAUCCAAAAAGCAAAAACUGGAUGAUGCCAUUGCUGGAAGGACAGAUGAGAAGCACACAUUUCAG